UCUUAGGGUGCCUCCACAUCUGUUUUUACUGUCUUAUUUCUGAACUGUCUUGCUGCAGGCUUAGGCACAGUUGUGUGUGGAUCGCACCAGCGGGUGUUCAUGAAAUAUACUUUGUGGUUUGACGAAACUCCAUAAAUAAACCCCUCCUUGUAUUUGACUUACUGGGAUAGCCAACACUUCCGACAAGGUCAGGAACGAUCUGAAGUUCUUGAGUCUGGAAUAAUGGAUGGAUCAAAGGGUUGAGAUGUACAGCAGAAGAUGCAGCCCUGUUCAGCUGCGGCGUGAACAGGUUGAUUUCUCCGAGCCAGAUUGCAGGAGGCGAAGCUGUCUGGGUGACUUUGAACGGUGCCUAACCGUUUACGCACAUUUGCUUUCCUCUCGUCCCUCAUAUGUA